CAUUUGCUGAUAAGAUUUUUGGCUUGAAAAGUAUAGCUGCAUAUCGCAGCGGUCUGGAAAUUAGUACACAUGUCACUAGGAAAGAUGUUGAGGAAGGUCUUUCUGAGGUCAUACAGGUUUUGGCGACAAAGAUUUGGACUUGAGGUUAUCCAAUCCCCUUCAUCUCCGGGCUGUGCUUGAGGCCAAGAGAUUUUCUAAAAGCCGCAUUGUUCUUUUACAUGCAUCCUACCCGUUUUCAAAGGAAGCAUCAUAUCUAGCCUCUGUUUAUCCCCAGGUCUACCUCGACUUUGGCUUGGCUAUACCCAAGCUCAAUGUCCAAGGGAUGGUAUCUUCACUAAAAGAACUUUUGGAGCUUGCUCCAAUUAAGAAGGUAACAGUAUAUCUGGUUUUCAGUUGUUAGUUACUUUUCUUUCAAGAAUGCAUCUGGUUCUUCAAUGCAUAUCUGAAUGAAAAUUUAUUAUACCUUACUAUACUUGGUUUCU